GAUCAUGGCUCAGAUUGAACGCUGGCGGCAUGCUUUACACAUGCAAGUCGAACGGUAACAGGCCUUCGGGUGCUGACGAGUGGCGAACGGGUGAGUAAUGCAUCGGAACGUGCCCAGAGGUGGGGGAUAACGCAGCGAAAGCUGUGCUAAUACCGCAUGUGAUCUGAGGAUGAAAGCGGGGGACCAAGCAGCAAUGUUUGGCCUCGCG
rnacentral:rRNA from 1 species